GCUAAUCUAUCGCUGCCAACCUAUCUAUCGCUGCCAAUCUAUUGCUGCUAAUCUAUCGCUGCCAACCUAUCUACCGCGGCGAAUCUAUCUAUCGCUGCCCACCUAUCUAUCGCUGCCAAUCUAUUGCUGCUAAUCUAUCGCUGCCAACGUAUCUACCGCGGCGAAUCUAUCUAUCGCUGCCAAUCUAUUGCUGCCAACCUAUCUAUCGCUGCCAAUCUAUUGCUGCUAAUCUAUCGCUGCCAACCUAUCUAUCGCUGCCAAUCUAUUGCUGCUAAUCUAUCGCUGCCAACCUAUCUACCGCGGCGAAUCUAUCUAUCGCUGCCCACCUAUCUAUCGCUGCCAAUCUAUUGCUGCUAAUCUAUCGCUGCCAACCUAUCUACCGCGGCGAAUCUACCUACCACUGCCAACCAACCUACCUACCACUGCCAACCUAUCUAUCACUGCCAAUCUAUCGCUGCCAAUCUAUCGCUGCCAAUCUAUCGCUGCCAACCUAUCUACUGCAGUGAAUCUAUCUAUCACUAUCAUUACUAGUUCAAAAUAGAACUAGAGCAUUAAUACACUAAACUUCUUUUGAUAGAUAAUGAUUUUUGGUAACACUCAUAGCAUUAUAUCAUCUAUAUAGGGUAAAUCAUGGUCCCAUUUGAUCCCAUUUUGUAAAAUGAGACCAAAUGAAACCAGAAUCAGUAAUUUAUUAGAAGAACAUGACCUGGGACUAGAUUUAUAAUAUAAUCAGUGUAAAGUAACUAAUUUAAGAAACACUAUAUGGAAUCAGAACUAAGAAAUUUGAUAAUGAAACUGA
rnacentral:sRNA from 1 species